AAUUGCAAUAUAUCAGUCACACACCUCUAGAGUAACUAGGGGUUACGUGCCUUGCUCAGGGACACCUUGGUUGAUGUAUCUCAGUGGGAAUCUAACCCUGGUCUCCCACACCAAAGCCAUGCGUCAUAUCCACUGCUCCAUCACCGC